UAAGGAAUAUUGCUCAAUGGGAGAAAUCCUGAAGCAGCAACGCCGCGUGGAGGAUGAAGGGUCUAUGACUUGUAAACUCCUGUAAAGAAGGAAAAAAUUCCCAUUUGAUGGGAGAUGAUGGUACUUCUGGAGUAAGCCCCGGCUAACUACGUGCCAGCAGCCGCGGUAAUACGUAGGGUGCGAGCGUUAAUCGGAAUUACUGGGCGUAAAGCGUGCGCAGGCGGUUUGUUAAGUCUGAUGUGAAAGCCCCGGGCUCAACCUGGGAAUGGCAUUGGAAACUGGCAAGCUCGAGUGCGGCAGAGGGGGGUGGAAUUCCGCGUGUAGCAGUGAAAUGCGUAGAGAUGCGGAGGAACACCGAUGGCGAAGGCAGCCCCCUGGGCCGACACUGACGCUCAGGCACGAAAGCGUGGGGAGCAAACA
rnacentral:rRNA from 1 species